GGGGACGUUACGGAUUCGACAGGGAUGGUCUGAGCUUGAGUUGCGCGUCGGAGGUCUCGGCUUCGUCAUCAACGGAAGUUAUAUAAUAACUGGCAAACAACAACAAAACUUAGCUUUCGCAGCGUAAGCUGUUGAAACUGCCUGUCUACUCUAUCGCCCAUGUAGAAUAGUUCAGGCUCACUUAUAGUGGGAUACGGUUACUAGUGCCACUUGAGCUAGUAACAAGAGAUUCCCAAGUUAGCGCACAGGAUGCCUGCUUGCUGGCUAUUGCUGCGUGAAUCCUAAAU
rnacentral:tmRNA from 1 species